rnacentral:lncRNA from 1 species
UAUUCAUCAUCUACCUGAAGGAGCCUAUUGUCAUCAGUAAGAAAGAAGUGAUGAAAAUAGAAAUUCAUUUUGAUUUGCAAGUGCACAUAUCUCAAGCUUCUGUCCAAGCUUUAGGAGAAGACAAACAGGUGUUGCCUGAUCAGAUGAAAAUCUCCUCGGAGCCCUUAAAUAAGUUUGAGAAGGAAGACAAUGAGAUUCCUAGUAGCCUUGAAAGACAAACAGAACAGGCAGAAGAAUCCAAUGAACCGGCAGAGUCCAUGAGCGCCGGGGAGGACCGUUGUGUGGUAACUCUCCUCUCGGGCACGCAGUCCUGGCCUCCCGUGAGUACAGCACGGUGGGAAGCAGGUGGCACCUGCCAAGCAGGCACCUUUCUCCCUGACUUGCAGACCCC